GUGCUCGCUUUGGCAGCAUAUAUACUAAAAUUGGCACGGUACAGAGAAGAUUAGCAUCUAAAAGUUGAAAAAAAAAAAGAAAAAGAGUUUCAGAGUCUC
rnacentral:snRNA from 1 species